GUGCUCACUUUGGCAGCUCAUUUGCUAAAAUUGGAACAAUACAGAGAUGAGCAUGGCCCCUGCACAAGGAUGACAUGCAAACGCGUGAAGUGUUCCAUGUUUUU
rnacentral:snRNA from 1 species